CUCAAAGGAAUUGACGGGGGCCCGCACAAGCGGUGGAGCAUGUGGCUCAAUUCGAUGCAACGCGAAGAACCUUACCAGGCCUUGACAUGCACUAGACAGACACUGAAAGGUGUCCUCCCUUCGGGGCUGGUGCACAGGUGCUGCAUGGCUGUCGUCAGCUCGUGUCGUGAGAUGUUGCGUUAAGUCGCGCAACGAGCGCAACCCCUGUCCUUAGUUGCCAUCAUUAAGUUGGGCACUCUAGGGAGACAAACCCUCUAUGAGGGUGGGAAGGUGGGGAUGACGUCAAGUCAGGAUGGCCCUUACGGCCUGGGCUGCACACGUGCUACAAUGCCCGAUACAGAGGGAAGCAAUACCGCGAGGUGGAGCAAAUCCUGAAAAUCGGGCCCAGUUCAGAUUGUAGUCUGCAACUCGACUACAUGAAGUUGGAAUCGCUAGUAAUGGCGCAUCAGCUACGGCGCCGUGAAUACGUUCCCGGGCCUUGUACACACCGCCCGUCACGU
rnacentral:rRNA from 1 species